rnacentral:rRNA from 1 species
GACGGGGGUCCCUAGCGUUGUUCGGAAUUAUUGGGCGUAAAGCGUGUGCAGGUGGCUUUAAAAGUUAGAUGUGAAAGCCCCGGGCUUAACCCGGGAAGUGCAUUUAAAACUCUAGAGCUUGAGUAUGGAAGAGGGUCGUGGAAUUCCUGGUGUAGUGGUGAAAUACGUAGAUAUCAGGAGGAACACCGGCGGCGAAGGCGGCGACCUGGUCCAAUACUGACACUCAUACACGAAAGCGUGGGGAUCAAACAGG